rnacentral:ncRNA from 1 species
UACUUGGUUGAUCCUGCCAAGGAAGCACACUUAGGUCAUAGAUUAAGCCAUGCAAGUGUUAGUUCAGGUAACGAAACUGCGAAUAGCUCAUUAAUACGCUCAGAAUCUAUUUGGCGGCGACCAACAGGUCUUAAAUGGAUAGCAGCAGCAACUCUGGUGCUAAUACAUGCGAUUGUUUCUCCAGAUGUGAAUUAUGGAGGAAAAGUUGACCUCAUCAGAGGCACGCCAUUCGACUGAGUGACCUAUCAGCUUGUACUUAGGGUCUUUACCUAGGUAGGCUAUCACGGGUAACGGGCGGUUACCGUCGGACUGCCGGAGAAGGCGCCUGAGAGAUAGCGACUAUAUCCACGGGUAGCAGCAGGCGCGAAACUUUCCCACUCGAGACUUUCGGAGGAGGUAAUGACCAGUUCCAUUGGUGCCUUUUGGUACUGUGGAUAGGGGUACGGUUUUCCACCGUACCGAAACCUAGCAGAGGGCCAGUCUGGUGCCAGCAGCUGCGGUAAUUCCAGCUCUGCGAGUUUGCUCCCAUAUUGUUGCAGUUAAAACGCCCGUAGUCUGAAUUGGCCAGCAAUGGUCGUACGUAUUUUUACGUUCACUGUGAACAAAUCAGGACGCUUAGAGUAUGGCCACAUGAAUGACUCAGCGCAG